rnacentral:tRNA from 1 species
GCGCGGUUGGCGUAGUGGUAUAACGCGUACACUUCAAAAGUGUAAGACCCCGGGUUCGAAUCCCGGACCGCGCA